rnacentral:rRNA from 1 species
GCGCAGCAGUCGCGAAACCUUCGCAAUGCGGGAAACCGCGACGAGGGGACUCCCAGUGCCUACGCUCAGCGUAGGCUGUUCCCGAGCCUAGAAAGCUCGGGGAGUAAGGGCUGGGUAAGACGGGUGCCAGCCGCCGCGGUAAUACCCGCAGCCCGAGUGGUGGCCACUAUUAUUGGGCCUAAAGCGUCCGUAGCCGGCCCGGUAAAUGCCUGGUUAAAUCGUGAGGCCUAACCUCACGAAUUCCGGGUAGACUGCCAGACUUGGGACCGGUUGAGGGAGAGGGUACUCCAGGGGUAGGGGUGAAAUCCUGUAAUCCUUGGAGGACCACCGGUGGCGAAAGCGCUCUCCUAGGACGGGUCCGACGGUGAGGGACGAAAGCCAGGGGAGCAAACCGGAUUAGAUACCCGCGUAGU